rnacentral:rRNA from 1 species
UACAGAGGUCUCAAGCGUUGUUCGGAGUUACUGGGCGUAAAGGGUGUGUAGGCGGUUGUUUAAGUUUGGUGUGAAAUCUCCCGGCUCAACUGGGAGGGUGCGCCGAAUACUGAAUGACUUGGAGUGCGGGAGAGGUGAGUGGAAUUCCUGGUGUAGCGGUGAAAUGCGUAGAUAUCAGGAGGAACACCGGUGGUGUAGACGGCUCACUGGACCGUAACUGACGCUGAGACACGAAAGCGUGGGUAGCAAACAGG